UACGAAGGGGGCUAGCGUUGCUCGGAAUCACUGGGCGUAAAGCGCACGUAGGCGGAUUGUUAAGUCAGGGGUGAAAUCCUGGAGCUCAACUCCAGAACUGCCUUUGAUACUGGCGAUCUUGAGUCCGGGAGAGGUGAGUGGAACUGCGAGUGUAGAGGUGAAAUUCGUAGAUAUUCGCAAGAACACCAGUGGCGAAGGCGGCUCACUGGCCCGUUACCGACGCUCAGGCGCGACAGCGUGGGGAGCAAACAGG
rnacentral:rRNA from 1 species